AGACGUCUACAUUAGAUACCCCGGUAGUCCCAGCCGUAAACUAUGCGCGUUAGGUGUAUCGGUGACCACGAGUCACCGAGGUGCCGAAGGGAAACCGUGAAACGUGCCGCCUGGGAAGUACGGUCGCAAGGCUGAAACUUAAAGGAAUUGGCGGGGGAGCAUCACAACGGGUGGAGCCUGCGGUUUAAUUGGACUCAACGCCGGGAAGCUCACCGGAUAAGACAGCGGAAUGAUUGCCGGGCUGAAGACUCUGCAUGACUAGCUG
rnacentral:rRNA from 1 species